AAUCUUAUAGUUUAAUAAAAACUUUAAAUUGCAAAUUUAAUAAUAAAACUUUUUGUUUUAAGAUUU
rnacentral:tRNA from 1 species